AGUGAACGCUGGCGGUAUGCUUAACACAUGCAAGUCGAACGGCAGCACAGUAAGAGCUUGCUCUUACGGGGGGUGAGUGGCGGACGGGUGAGGAAUACAUCGGAAUCUACCUUUUCGUGGGGGAUAACGUAGGGCAACUUACGCUAAUACCGCAUACGACCUACGGGUGAAAGCAGGGGAUCUUCGGACCUUGCGCGUUUGAAUGAGCCGAUGUCGGUUUAGCUAGUUGGCGGGGUAAAGGCCCACCGAGGCGACGAUCCGUAGCGGGUCUGAGAGGUUGGACGGCCACACUGGAAAUGGGACCUGGUCCAGACUCCAAAGGGAGGCGGGAGGGGGGAAUAUUGGACAUUGCGCGAUGGCCUGAUCCAGGCAGCACGCGCGGGUGGAGAAGGCCUUCGGGUUGUGAAGCCCUUUUGUUGGGAAAGAAAAGCAGAAGGUUAAUACCCCGCUGUUCUGACGGUACCCAAAGAAGAAGCACCGGCUAACUUCGUG
rnacentral:rRNA from 1 species